ensembl:snoRNA SNORA75 Small nucleolar RNA SNORA75
AUCUUCUCUUUGAGCUCCUUCCUGCCAACAAAUCCAUGGCAGCCUAUGGAUUCGCACGAGAAGAAUAUUAACUGUUCAGUAUUGGCAAUCUCACACUGUGGCUCCAUGAGCUGUGGUUCGCCAUCGCUGUUCAACAGGU